rnacentral:rRNA from 1 species
GAUGAACGCUGGCGGCGUGCCUAAUACAUGCAAGUCGAGCGAACGGACGAGAAGCUUGCUUCUCUGAUGUUAGCGGCGGACGGGUGAGUAACACGUGGAUAACCUACCUAUAAGACUGGGAUAACUUCGGGAAACCGGAGCUAAUACCGGAUGAUAUUUUGAACCGCAUGGUUCGAAAGUGAAAGACGGUCUUGCUGUCACUUAUAGAUGGAUCCGCGCUGCAUUAGCUAGUUGGUAAGGUAACGGCUUACCAAGGCAACGAUGCAUAGCCGACCUGAGAGGGUGAUCGGCCACACUGGAACUGAGACACGGUCCAGACUCCUACGGGAGGCAGCAGUAGGGAAUCUUCCGCAAUGGGCGAAAGCCUGACGGAGCAACGCCGCGUGAGUGAUGAAGGUCUUCGGAUCGUAAAACUCUGUUAUUAGGUAAGAACAUAUGUGUAAGGAACUGUGCACAUCUUGACGGUACCUAAUCAGAAAGCCACGGCUAACUACGUG